GUGUAUCAGUGGCAUUUUCUACAGGACCCAUCACCAUUUUGCAGAAGAGUUGCCAACUGCUUUCUGGGUCUAAGGGUUGCAACUCAUGCAGAGAGCUUUCCCCGCCUAUAUAUCUGCCUACACGACUGUUUCGAGAGGUGAGGAUUAUUCUACUGCCAUUUUUAGAAUUCAUUGGAAUGCUAAUUUUCAAAGCAUCCCAUGUCUUUUUAUCCCAUAUAUCAUCAAACAUAAUAACGUACCUCUUUUCUCUUAGAUAUUCCCCCAGGUUGGCUCCAAGUUUGUGCUUCCGCUUUUCCUCCUCCAAGCCCACUUGGCUUGCUAGGUCUUCGGUAAUCUCUGUUAGGUUUGGCUGUUGAGAAACAUAAACCAAAGCUGAACACUGGAAUUGAUCCCUCGUUGAUCUGAAAAGAUUCUUAGCCAGAGUUGUCUUCCCCAAACCUGCCAUUCCGACAACGGAGAUGAAAUUGAGCUUGAUUUCUGACUUGUCAACAAGCCUGGCCUUUAAAUCUUGAAUAAUUCUGUGAAAACCAACGAUUUCUGGUUCGUCGGCAUAGAGGUGAGGUCGUCUUGGAUCCCAAAUGGAUUUUUCAGCACCAUCAGCUGUAAUAUCAUAAGAUGUUAUUGGACGACCUAUAUCCUCGAUCCUUUUUCUGAUCUCUGCGAUUUCCAUGGCAAAGUUACGAGCAGUUGACCAGUAGCUGAAGAUGGAAAUUGAUUUCCUAAAGAAAAUCUCAGCAGAGCCAGCCGCAGGACUGUUGUAUGAUUCCAUCUGGGGCAGGAAUGUCUCCAAAACGUCCUCCAUAUCAUGACAAAGGUCUCUGAUAUUUUGAAUCAAGGCAGUCAUUUCUUGGCUUCGGACUGGUUUGGAAUCAGCGUCUUUCAAAUAGGCUUGGAUCUGUCUCAUCUUUCCUUGGAUCCAGCCGAUAUCUCCUGACAACCCAUGCAAGCGAUUACGUUCUUCUUCUGCAAACUUACCGAUUAUAUUCUGAGCUACAUCACCGAUUAUAUUCAGAGCUGCAGAAAGAGCAAUCUCUGCCAUCUUAAUUUUUUAUGAUUUCACCACAAACAAUUUCAAUAGCCUCGCAUUAAACAUACAAGUAGUGUAAAUGACCAAAGAGCAUUAUUAUGUGUUUGUUUAUGAACAACGCAUUGGAAAAUAUCGUGGCAAUUAAGUCAACAUCUCUCGGUCUCGGUCUCCGUCUCGGACAAUUGGUCUCAGUCUCGAUCAAUAUGGGUGGCUGCAAGUAUUCUGCUUGGAAAAGAACCGAUGAGUACUUAUUCUGGUCGGAAAAUAACUACUCCCUCCGUUCCUUAAUAUAAAUCGAUUUACAGAAAUAUUUUUGUUUCUUAAUGUAAUUCGUUUUUGAAUUUCAAGUAAACAUUAAUUGCUUAGUUUUCAAUAUUACUCUAAGUAUUAAAUAUAACUUUGGUUUUCUCACUAUUUUCUAUCCAAUAAAUAACAAUCUCUUAUUUCAAUAAAAGGACAAAAAUCUCUUAUUACAAGUAUUAAAGAAAUGAUUGUAUAGCAUUAACUAUAAUAUCAAUUGUCUAUAUUAUCCUUGUAUUGGAAUAAGAGAUUGUUAUUUAUUGGACAAAAAAUAGUGUGAGAAUCAAAGUUACAUUUAAUACUUGGGGUAAUAUUGGAAACUAAGCAAUUAAUGUUUACUUGAAAUUCUCAAACGACUUAUAUUAAGGAACAAAAAUAUUUCUCUAAAAAAACUUAUAUUAAGGAACGGAUGGAGUAUGAUUUUUGAGUGUCUUUAGCAUGUGUGACAAAAACAUAUGGUGAAACUUUCUCUUUGACCUGAUUGUAAAAAGGAACUGUUGGUUGACAUAAUUAUUAACAUGAAUUGUUGAUUGAUAUAAUUAUGACCAUUAGUGUUACAAUUGAUUGUCUUUGUCCCGGGUGCAAAGAUAGUAUGAUUGUUGAGUGUCUUUAGCCUGUGUGGCAAUGACACGUGAUAAAAAUUUCUUUUUGACCUGGUGCAAAGAAGAACUCUUAAUUGGUGUUACAGUGAUAAAAUAUUGAUGAUAAAUUUUUAAAUCGGAGAAGGUAGUAGACAUUAUGGUAUAUUUGACUCUUCUAAUGAAUUGUUUAUUCCGUUGCAAUGAUCGUUGAAAAUUUAUAUUGUAAGACCCCAACUUAUUAUAAAUAAAAUUGAAUUUUCCUUUAUUCAUUAUUCUAAAUUAAUAAGGGUUAAUUUGAUAUAAUUCUUUGGUUAUGGGUGAAAUGUGCAAAGUUUACAAAAUAAGCAAGUGGUUAUAAAAUAUUCAUUAUUGUCGGGGAAUAUUCGUUUGGUCGUGGAAUAUUCUUUUUGUCGGGAAUCUCCGUACGACGGCGCAGUCAUUGGUGGGCCCCAUAACGGAAAACGGUUGGAUGAAGGAAAACGACAAAGAUUGAGUUUUAUAAAUAACGACGUAAAUUGUUACCGUUAACACUGUUGGGUUACCUGGUGGUUAAAAUACAGUAAUACGCGUGGUUGCACAGUAGCACACGGUAUUGCACAGUAUUAUUGAAUUAUUGAUCCUUACGUAAGAAGGCACUACUCAAUAAUUGUUACAGUAGUUACUGUUCAAUAUUAUAUUUUAUUGAUUCAAUAAUUGCUGCGUUGAUAUUUUGUAUUGCUGUUGUUUCAAUAAUUGUCAUUACACAGUAUUUUCCAUUAUCAAAUCAAUAAUUCAUAUUAUUUGAAUAAUAUUAUCAGAUAACAUUAUUGGCAAUGUCUAGAAAGUUCUGUCUAAGGAGAGGUUUGGUCACCUAAUUGCGCGCCAGUAAGGAGAAAUCCUUAUUGGAAAGCCCCCUCUUUCCUGGGAACGGCCUGGUUGUCAGUACUGUGAUUCUGUAAUAUUAUUUUUAAAUAAUUAAUUAUUGAUUAUUAUGAUAAAGAAAAUAUUUAUUUUAUGUGGAUAUAGAUGGAGAAAAUUUUUAAUGUGACAAUUGUUGAAAAUUAAUAUUUUAUCUUUUUCUGAUAAAAUAAUUCAUUUAAAUAUAUUAUUUUAAUAAUAUAUUAACGGUGAUAUUUUUAUAAUGAAUGUGGGAUAUAUGAGUAUAUGAGGAGGUAGAGUAUUUUGUGGCAUUAAAUGUUUAACAUAUGUUUUGUGUGUCGGUGGACACAAUUCUUGACCGAAAAUUGAUUAUAGACUGUAAAAUCGUCCGUUUAUGGAUUUCGGUCAAUUUCUGUUUGGAAUUUGGAAAAAUUUUCUUCUGCAAAGUUGUAGAGAAUGGAAUUUCCCAUGGAAAGUCGCGAGUUUCGAAUUUUUCUGAUAAACGAGCUAUUUUCUACGAAUUAUUGAAGUUUCGGAAGAUAAAAUAAUUUUUAUUAAAUAAUGGGUGGGACCCACUCUUGUUUGAACAUGUGGGCUGCUGGAAAUUGGGUCAAGGUUGGCUGGUGGCUGAAGUGUUCAAAUGGCAUGCGUAGAAAUGUAAUUUUAAAUAAUAAUAAUUUAUUAAUUUAGUCUCCUUUGGCGUUCUAACAUUUUCCUAUAAAUAGAGGGCUAAGUUAGAAUUGAAAAUCACACCAGAAACUAAGUUUUCUCUCUUUCUCUCUCUAAAUUAUCGAGCGUAUUCUUGUGAGUAUACUUUGAGUGUUGCUAUACGGUGCGGGUUUCUGUCAGCACUAUACCGAAAUUCAGUCAGAAGUACGGUUAUUUUGAGGUAAGGGGUAUUAUUUUCUUCUUAAAUGAUAUUUUUUCUUCAAUAUCAUUAUGCCGAAGUAUUGGUGAACUUUUUUAUCAAAUUUGGAACUUGUUGUGUCGGGGUUACUAUUCACGUAUACGGCACUAUUCACGUAUACGACACUAUUCACGAAUACGGCACUAUUCACCGAAAAAUAAAAAUUUUUCUUUUUGUCCAAAAUAUCUAUUCUGGAUACUAGCUUUGAUUGUAUCCAUGUUUUGAUCAUUCUUGAAUUUUACACCAAUAUGAUUAUUUUCGAAGUAUUUUUGGACAUGGGUAAAACAAAGUACGAAUCCUUAAUCCUUAAUCCUUGUCAUUUUGUUUCACUGGAUUCGUUUCUUUAAAAAUGUUUUUCAUCAUCCUCAGUCCUAAAUGGUGAUAUAAAUGAAUAUCUUUGGCCUGUAGUGCAAAGAUGAACGAUUAACUGAUGAAUAUCUUUGGCCUGUAGUGCAAAGAUGAACAGGUGUUGAGAUGAACAUGACCAACUGGUGAUACAAAUGAAUAUCUUUGGCCUGUAGUGCAAAGAUGAUUAAAGAUGUAUAUUGAUUGUUAUUACAGGGAUAAACUAUUGAUGAUGGACUUUUAAACCUUAGAAGACAGUAGAAUUCUUUCUCUACGUGACUCUUCUAAUGGAUUGCUGUUUCCGCUGCAUUUGUUGAUCUAAAACUUGUUGUCUAUUGUAUUCUAUUAGAUUUUUCCCUGUUGAAGACUAACGAUAAUUUGUUGUAUAUUAUCUUAGUCAUAAUAUUCUUUACUGGGCUAGUUGAGCUCACCCUUUUCCUUUUUGUUCCAUUUUUCUUCUCAGGAGGUGAGAACAUAGCAGGAUCGAGUCGGGGUAUGGAGUGAUGGUUCUAGGAAGAUGUUUUAGCUGUCCUCACUAUUUCUGUAAAAUAGUGUAUGAAUAAUUAAUGAGGACUUAUUUGGGUGUGUAUAUUGUCUAGAAGACAAUAUUUGUAUUUAAACUCACAGUUGUAUUGUCGUAUUCUACACGACAUCUGUAUUAUCAAAGUUGUAGUUUGCUUUCUAUACCAUGUAUUUUGGCGACUCAGAAUGGGUGUUGUAUACCUAUUUUGGGGGCGUCACAUAUAUUAUCUUUAAAUAUAUGAUUUAUCAUUGUUGAAAGUUAAAGAUAAUUUAUUCUUUGUUAACUUAGUCAUAAUGGGCUAUUUGUGGUUUCAUAAUUUCUUUCAAAAAAUAAGAGUGUAGUUGUGUCUAGCAGAGAGAACGGAAAUAUGGAGUAAUGGUUCGAGUUAGUAACCGUAGUACUUCUUAAUAUAUUAUAAAAUAAUAUGACAAUAAUUGUACUGAGAAAUUAUGUGAUUUUCUUCUGUAGGGUAUGUUUAAUUUGGAUAAAGUUUUUGUGAAAUUAGAAAAGAGGGAAUGUUAUCACAUUAUACAAUUGAUGACGGGCUUAAUUAUCAAAAUAAAUAUAUUACUCAAUAUUACCUUGCAUUUCAAAAGAUGUAAUGUUAUCUUAUUAUUCUAGAAAUUUUUGGAAAGAUGGUGUAUUUAAGAUUUUUGAGUAAUAUGGAAAAUAAAAUAAUUAAUAUAUUUUUGAAAUUUACAAAAGACAUAAAAAUAAUAAAAAAUUUAAAGAUAUUAAUUUUGAAUUAUAAUAAAAUUUCACAAAUUUAUACCUAUAUAACAUACAAGGUGAUCAAAACCAGAAAACUAUCACCUUAGAGUCUAAUAUAUUCAAAGUUACUAAACAGUAAAUACUCUCAAGAAGACUAGAGUGAGCAAUUCGGUUAUAAUUGAAUUCGGUUAUAACUAAAAAUUGAAAUAUAUACAUUUGUGAUAUCCGAAUAAAUAACUGAAUUGUGAGAUAACCAAAUUAACGAAUAGAAAUUUCGUUAUUCGGAUUAAUAACUGAAAUGAAGGCUAAAACAAUACGAGUCCCAUGUAUAAGCACACAAAAAAAAGUGGGGCCAAGCACAUUAACUACACAAUCCACCACUCAGCACUCCAUUGGGCAUGAAGUGAACUUACCAUCAAGUUCACUUCAUGCUAACCGCUUCCGAUAAGAUAGAUUGGAGAAAAAAAGAAAUGACUACAGUUUUAAUUACCAAAAACAAUGGCAACACCGUCAGCACUUUCAUCCUCCUUUCUUCAAACAGCUCUGCCACUUCAUCGCCAGACUAAACAAAUCUCACAACAUAUUGAUGCAUACAAUUUAAUUAUUGGCUAAGAAGAAGAACUGAACUGAAUCAGACGCGAAACCAUUAGUGAUACCAAUUGGUACGUACUUGAUCUAGUUUGCACUUGAAGCCAUGACGUCUCAUCAAUCUCACAUGACGAAGCCAUUAGGACGUGUAAAGAACUGAUCAAGGACCAAGUAAUAAAUGUCACAAAAUAAAUAAAAUCAAUUUUGUAGUUAUUUGAUUAAAAGUAUUUUCAGAUGAAAACAUUACGAAUAAAAAAACAAAAUUAACUGGUAACUAACCUCUUCAAAAUAGUUAGUAGAUGAUUCGUUUUUGUAAACAAUCAUGUUUUGAAGUCUGUCAGGAAGCAUCUUCAGCUUGUCGCAACGUCUAAUGAUUAACUUGUGGAGACAAGGCAUUCCUCCUUCCUCGACAGUUAGUUCCUCCAAGUCAUGCAAAUAACUGAAUUCCAACACUUCAAGUUGAGGAAAGUCAGCCCUGGAGCAAACCAUCCUCGCCCCUGCGUAGGAAUUUGGUCCCAAUACGAGGGUCUUAAGAUUAGAUAGCUUUCCCAGUGUCUCCAUUGAGUCCUCUUUCAAUACAGUCCUUGUCAAGGUGAGCUCGGUGAGGUUUGGGGGAAAUUUAUUAGUCUCGGGCAAGUUCCCCCACGGGUACCUUAAUUGCAUUUUGGAAACAUUUUUACAGAGAGACAGAUCAUAUUCUGUAAAAUGAUCAAUACCCAGUUUUUGCAACCUUGUAACUUUGCUAAAUCCCUUUGCCUUCAAAACAUCAUCAUUGCAUCCGAUGAGUGUUUGAAGAUUUGGUAAUGAAAUCUCAUCAAGUUUCUUGAACACUAAACUUCGGUUAAUUUGCUUCCGUAUCCUCCCUGAGAGUGAAGCAACAGGUAGCUUCGGAAGGAGGAUUUGUCUUAACUGUUUCAUCUUCCGAAAACAAGUAGGAAUGCUGACUAUUCCAUGACAUCUUUGUAAGUUCAAGGUCAGUAAACUUUUGAGGUUGCUUAUUGUGUAGGGGAACACUAAAAAACCUAUAUAAAAUCUUGUCCGGAUUUCAAGAUAACUCAAGUGUAUCAAAUUUCCAAUUUCAUUUGGAAGAGAAGCACUUGAGCAUUUUCCUCCGGUGUCAAUAGUAACAAUUAGCACUAAUGAAUCUAGAGCUUCUACAUAAAUUCUUCAGCUGUUUCAUGCUGAGAAAUUCCUUCAUAUCAAAAGAUAGAAAAGAUCGAAGUUUGGGUGUUUGAUGAGCCCAUUCAAUGUCAUCACUAAUGCCCCCAGGACAAGCGGUGGCCACUCUACGCACUCUUGUAGCUGAAAUAGAGGUCAAUUUGUGGAUAGUGACAAAGAAGUUAAUCUCUUCAGCCAUUUCAAUGCAGAGUGUGCGUAGAAGAUCGUGAAUGCGACAACUUCUAAUCCUCCCAUCAUGUUCCCUGCUAGCAACCUGAAUAAGAUUCCUAGCAACCAAGUCGUUCAAAUAGUCCUCUCCCACUUCCUCAAGCGUUAGGCUUCCCACGACUUUUAUGAAUUUCUCAGUCACCCAGAUAUUAAUUAGUUGGAAUGCGAAAACUUCGUAGUCCUCUGGAAAAAGUCCAGAGUAGAGAAAACAAGGCUUGAGCUCAAUAGGUAAAUCAUUGUAACUUAGACCAAAGCUACCUCUAGUUUCAAAAUCACGAUAACUACCCAUGCUCUUCAGUACCGCACUCCAUCUAUCCUCUCUUCCCUCCCUCCCUCGCAACAAACCUACUGUCACUACAAUAGCAAGUGGCACACCACCGCAUCUUUGUACAAUUUUCCUACCAAUAUCUUCCAACUCAGAAGGAAGGCAUGGUGUAUCAGUGGCAUUUUCUACAGGACCCAUCACCAUUUUGCAGAAGAGUUGCCAACUGCUUUCUGGGUCUAAGGGUUGCAACUCAUGCAGAGAGCUUUCCCCGCCUAUAUAUCUGCCUACACGACUGUUUCGAGAGGUGAGGAUUAUUCUACUGCCAUUUUUAGAAUUCAUUGGAAUGCUAAUUUUCAAAGCAUCCCAUGCCUGGCUAUCCCAUAUAUCAUCAAACAUAAUAACGUACCUCUUUUCUCUUAGAUAUUCCCCCAGGUUGGCUUCAAG
rnacentral:lncRNA from 1 species